rnacentral:pre_miRNA from 1 species
UAUUGAGCACUUACUCUGUGCCAGGUACUUUGUACAUGUUCCUGGCACAGAGUAAGUGCUCAAUA